AUUGAACGCUGGCGGCAGGCUUAACACAUGCAAGUCGAGCGGGGUGAGGUGCUUCGGUACUGAUCCUAGCGGCGGACGGGUGAGUAAUGCUAGGAAUCUGCCAUUUAGUGGGGGACAACAUUCCGAAAGUAAUGCUAAUACCGCAUACGUCCUACGGGAGAACGCAGGGGACUUUCGGACCUUGAGCGAAAUGAUGAUCCUAAGUCGGAGUAGCUAGUUGGUGGGGUAAAGGCCUACCAAGGCGACGAUCUGUAGCGGGUCUGAGAGGAUGGUCCGCCACACUGGGACUGAGACACGGCCCAGAUUCCGACGGGAAGCAGAAGUGGGGAAUAUUGGACAAUGGGCGGAAGCCUGAUCCAGCCAUGCCGCGUGUGUGAAGAAGGCCUGUUGGUUGUAAAGCACAUUAAGCGAGGAGGAGGCUACCUGGAUUAAUACUCUGGGAUAGUGGACGUUACUCGCAGAAUAAGCACCGGCUAACUCUGUGCCAGCCGCCGCGGUAACAC
rnacentral:rRNA from 1 species